GAUGAACGCUGGCGGCGUGCCUAAUACAUGCAAGUCGAGCGAACAGAUAAGGAGCUUGCUCCUUUGACGUUAGCGGCGGACGGGUGAGUAACACGUGGGUAACCUACCUAUAAGACUGGGAUAACUUCGGGAAACCGGAGCUAAUACCGGAUAAUAUUUCGAACCGCAUGGUUCGAUAGUGAAAGAUGGUUUUGCUAUCACUUAUAGAUGGACCCGCGCCGUAUUAGCUAGUUGGUAAGGUAACGGCUUACCAAGGCGACGAUACGUAGCUGACCUGAGAGGGUGAUCGGCCACACUGGAACUGAGACACGGUCCAGACUCCUACGGGAGGCAGCAGUAGGGAAUCUUCCGCAAUGGGCGAAAGCCUGACGGAGCAACGCCGCGUGAGUGAUGAAGGUCUUCGGAUCGUAAAACUCUGUUAUUAGGGAAGAACAUACGUGUAAGUAACUGUGCACGUCUUGACGGUACCUAAUCAGAAAGCCACGGCUAACUACGUG
rnacentral:rRNA from 1 species